rnacentral:lncRNA from 1 species
GGAAGACUUAAGAUGGCGGCGUUUGCACGGAGUGCAAUCACUGCGUCCUUACGGGGGUUGCAAGGCGUCCGAAGUAUGAGUCCACUAACAAAAGUCCAGAAACUCGCCAGUUAAUAGUAUUGUGAUGGAGUUCGCUCUUGUUGCCCAGGCUGGAAUGCAAUGGCAUGACCUUGGCUCACUGCAACCUCUGCCUCCCCAGUUCAAGUGGUUCUCCUGCCUCAGCCUCCCGAGUAGCUGAGAUUACAGUUUCUUCAAAGGAAAGAAGCAACUGGAACACACAUAUAACACUAACCCUUCCAGCUGCAUUAUGAGGGACCAGUACCUGUCUCAAGGCAAAAUUAUGACUUAGUUCAUCCUCACCUCUGGAGGCCAGUAAAAGUGGGUUAUAGAAGAACAAAGAGGCAUCUAGAUCUUUCACUGGGUUAUUUGGAGAGAAACAUCUCCUACCGAAGGCCAGUUUAACAAGACUGGUAGAGGAGGUUAUCUUAUCUAAUUCACAGAAAUCAACACAUUGAGUCAAGAAAAAUGAAACACAGAAACACUCUAAAUAAAAGAAGAUAA